GAUGAACGCUGGCGGCGUGCCUCAAACAUGCAAGUCGAGCGAGGCUAUGAAUUACCGCAAGGUAAGGCAUAGCCUAGCGGCGAACGGGUGAGUAACACGUGGGUAACCUACCUGGAAGACAGGGAUAACGAUUCGAAAGGGUCGCUAAUACCUGAUAAUAUCCGUCUGCCGGAUGGCGGAGGGAAGAAAGGGGAAACCCGCUUUCAGAUGGGCCCGCGUCCCAUCAGCUAGUUGGUAAGGUAAAGGCUUACCAAGGCGACGACGGGUAGCCGGUCUGAGAGGAUGUACGGCCACACUGGGACUGAGAUACGGCCCAGACUCCUACGGGAGGCAGCAGUUGGGAAUCUUAGGCAAUGGACGAAAGUCUGACCUAGCGACGCCGCGUGAGGGAAGAAGGCCUUCGGGUUGUAAACCUCUGUCAUGGGGGAAGAAGGAAGUGACGGUACCCAAGAGGAAGCCCCUGCUAACUACGUGCCAGCAGCCGCGGUAAAAUGCGUACU
rnacentral:rRNA from 1 species